UACGUAGGGGGCAAGCGUUGUCCGGAUUUAUUGGGCGUAAAGAGCGUGUAGGCGGCCAGGUAGGUCUGCUGUGAAAACUCGAGGCUUAACCUCGAGCUGUCGGCGGAAACCAUCUGGCUAGAGUCCGGAAGAGGAGAAUGGAAUUCCCGGUGUAGCGGUGAAAUGCGCAGAUAUCGGGAAGAACACCCGUGGCGAAGGCGGUUCUCUGGGACGGUACUGACGCU
rnacentral:rRNA from 1 species